rnacentral:rRNA from 1 species
UACGUAGGGUGCAAGCGUUGUCCGGAAUUAUUGGGCGUAAAGGGCUCGUAGGCGGUCUGUCGCGUCGAAAGUGAAAACUCAGGGCUUAACCCUGAGCCUGCUUCCGAUACGGGCAGACUAGAGGUAUGCAGGGGAGAACGGAAUUCCUGGUGUAGCGGUGAAAUGCGCAGAUAUCAGGAGGAACACCGGUGGCGAAGGCGGCUCUCUGGGACGGUACUGACGCUGAGACGCGAAAGCGUGGGGAGCGAACAGG